UGCAAGUCGAACGCUUCUUUCCUCCCGAGUGCUUGCACUCAAUUGGAAAGAGGAGUGGCGGACGGGUGAGUAACACGUGGGUAACCUACCCAUCAGAGGGGGAUAACACUUGGAAACAGGUGCUAAUACCGCAUAACAGUUUAUGCCGCAUGGCAUAAGAGUGAAAGGCGCUUUCGGGUGUCGCUGAUGGAUGGACCCGCGGUGCAUUAGCUAGUUGGUGAGGUAACGGCUCACCAAGGCCACGAUGCAUAGCCGACCUGAGAGGGUGAUCGGCCACACUGGGACUGAGACACGGCCCAGACUCCUACGGGAGGCAGCAGUAGGGAAUCUUCGGCAAUGGACGAAAGUCUGACCGAGCAACGCCGCGUGAGUGAAGAAGGUUUUCGGAUCGUAAAACUCUGUUGUUAGAGAAGAACAAGGACGUUAGUAACUGAACGUCCCCUGACGGUAUCUAACCAGAAAGCCACGGCUAACUACG
rnacentral:rRNA from 1 species